rnacentral:rRNA from 1 species
UACAGAGGUGGCAAGCGUUGUUCGGAAUUACUGGGCGUAAAGGGCGCGUAGGCGGCCAUCUAAGUCAGACGUGAAAUCCCCCGGCUUAACCUGGGAACUGCGUCUGAUACUGGACGGCUUGAGUAUGGGAGAGGGAUGUAGAAUUCCAGGUGUAGCGGUGAAAUGCGUAGAUACCUGGAGGAAUACCGGUGGCGAAGGCGGCAUCCUGGACCAUUACUGACGCUGAGGCGCGAAAGCUAGGGGAGCAAACGGG